rnacentral:ncRNA from 1 species
ACAUUCCAUGCGUAUUCGAUAAGCCGGCAAUAAAAAAGCAGAUUAGUUUCCACUACUCUGGGCUUUUUUGUGCUGCUUAUUUUUACGCGUGUAGACAUAGAUUGCGAUAAGGAUGGCUUUUUUUGCCAUGCCUUUUAUCGCCGUGUUCUUAUUCGUGAUGAAUGCAGACCAACUGCCCUCAAGGUGGAUUUGGAUCUGUAUUUUUUAU